ACACUCCUACGGGAGGCAGCAGUGGGGAAUAUUGGACAAUGGGCGCAAGCCUGAUCCAGCCAUGCCGCGUGAGUGAUGAAGGCCCUAGGGUUGUAAAGCUCUUUCACCGGUGAAGAUAAUGACGGUAACCGGAGAAGAAGCCCCGGCUAACUUCGUGCCAGCAGCCGCGGUAAUACGAAGGGGGCUAGCGUUGUUCGGAUUUACUGGGCGUAAAGCGCACGUAGGCGGACUAUUAAGUCAGGGGUGAAAUCCCGGGGCUCAACCCCGGAACUGCCUUUGAUACUGGUAGUCUUGAGUUCGGGAGAGGUGAGUGGAAUUCCGAGUGUAGAGGUGAAAUUCGUAGAUAUUCGGAGGAACACCAGUGGCGAAGGCGGCUCACUGGCUCGAUACUGACGCUGAGGUGCGAAAGCGUGGGGAGCAAACAGGAUUAGAUACCGCGGUAGUCCCA
rnacentral:rRNA from 1 species